GCAUACGACCAUAGCUGGCAGAAAGCACGGGAUCCCGUCCGCUCUCCCUUAGUUAAACUACCAAGCGCCGGAUCAGUAGUACGGUGGGUGACCACGUGCGAAUACCUGGUGUUGUAUGUU
rnacentral:rRNA from 1 species